AGCGAUCACUGCAAUGCCCGGUCGCUGCCUGGCCGAGCAAGUACGGCAAGGGCGAAGUCGGCUUCCUGGGAUCGUCAUCCGAGCAGAGCUACGCUUCCCGAAUCUUGCGGAUUUCACGGUAACGAGCAAGACCGGCAACGUUUUAAGGUUACGGGCCAAAAUGCGUUGAAUCUGUCUAUGGAAAGUCAUCAUUUCAACCAUUUUCACUGAUGGCCAGUGGGUGAGCCAGUUGGAAGAGAAGAAAUAUGAAUAUGGUGGGAACGGAAAAGGUGCGGAGACCUGAAGAGGAAUGGAUGAAUUCUUCGGAGGAGGAAAAAAGUAAUGAUGUCGCCCCUCCUGCGGCACCUUCAUGGAGUUACGAGGGCGAAGGAGGUCCCGAGAAUUGGGCGACGCUGUUUCCCAAUUCU